UUAAGCAGGUUGGGAAGUCUCCAAGACUCUCUCCAGGGCUCCUGAGCAUCCAGUGUUUGAAGACCCAGCGAGCAGCUGUUUCAAAGCCGAGAAAAGCGCUAAGAGCAGUGACGUCAUUGGCAAAGGCCACCCAGUCGGUCACGGAGCUGGAUUCGGGCUCUGGGAACACACGUGAGCCCCACUUUCUUUAACCGCUGUCUUCUGGAAACAAAGUUUUGUUGGAUUCCCUAGGACUAUAUGUAAAUGUAAAACCAGCGGUUUGUCAUAAGAAAUCACAUAUUUUUAUUGACAGCUGCCAGUAAAACUCAGAUAACCCUCAAAGCAUAAAAAUGCCAAGACUGGCCCUCCAAAAACACCAGGAAAGCUAGCUUCGGGUCCUCAAACGUCACGGAACGAAGGCUUAGUGGAACGAUGGCUUGGUGGCCAGCAGGUGGCGGUAAGGCUUCACCGUUGUCUUGGUGAUGCGCGCGGAGUUGCUGGUUCCUUCGAUCUGAACAACUCAGGCAAAAAGGAGACAGUCUGCUUCCCUCCUCCCUCCCACUCCAGCCUUCUUGUCCUGUGAUCUCCAGCCCCUGCAGGCUUUAAGGAAGGGAUACUUCUCUUCCAUAACACUGUGUGGUACGAAGGUUCCCAGGGGUGCUGGCGAUGGAACUCAAGGUCUCAUGCAUGCUGACAAGGUCUCAUGACUGCACCCACAGCCCUGCCGGGAUGCUUUAAGUGCCCUGAUCUCUCGUGAGGACCACUCGUGGAGAAGACUGAUUCUGCCUCUCUCAGCAGCCAUUAGCAGCCGCAGCUCCUCAGCUAGGGGAAGUGUUGUGAGACUUCCCGCAUCCACGAUAUAUGUGAGCUGGUUGCUCACUAUGCAGGUGUUAUUUAGGUGACCAUAUUGUUGAGAUUUCUCAGGUGUGGCUUUCUUGUCACACAGAGAAGACAGCCUCGCAGCCGACUUCCUGGUCUGCUGGCUCUUACAAUCUUCCUGCCCCCUCUUCCAUGAUGCUGCCUGAACCUUAGAAGUAGGGGCUUUGCUGGAGAGGUGGCCAUUGAUGACAGGCCAGAAGAGGACACCAGAUCUCAUUAUAGAUGGUUGUUCAGAUGGCGGGUCCUGAGGCUGGCUGGUGCAGAGCAGAGGAGCGAGCCUCUUGGAAGUGGAAAGCUGGCCUCCCGCGCAUGCCUAUUGCCCUGCCUGCCUGCGGUGAUGGAGGCCAUCCCAGGACAGACAGCUGCAAUGGCCUCUUCCUGCAGUUCUUGUCAGGCAUUUUGUCACACAACAUAAUGAAUACACUUGGACCUCCUAGUACUGGCAACAAGGACUGGCAUGGAAGCCGUGGAGAGCCAAGCCACCAAGAGUCUUCAGGCUGUGACUCGGUCAGCAGAGGUGAGCGUAUGAGAAGCUCAGAGGUUCGCGUGGACCCCUUCAGGUGUGGCUCCUUCACUGAAGCAGCAGUCUCGUGAGGUCCCUUCUUCUGAAGGAGGAAGUCAGCUUUGGCACUUCCCUGGGGUGUCCCGAGGUCUUCGUUCACAUGGGGGGGGGGUGGCCCACCCGUGCCUCCCUUGCCCGUUUUCCUUCCUGUUAGCUUGAAUGGAUCUUGUGUUCCUCGAGGUUCAGGUGCGAGAAGUCUGGUCCCCAGUGUGUCAAUACUGAGAGCUGGAGGAAGGCUGAGGAGUGGGGUGCGGUAGAGGGUGGAAGCUCAUUGGAGGUAUUGCCCUCCCAGGGACAGCAAAGCCAUCCAUGAGCUCGGUCUCUUCUGCAUGUAGCCGUUCUUUCCUGUCUCUCUGAUGUGAUGGCCAGGGUGCUGUCCAGAAACUGGACGGAUGAAGCCACUCCCUUGGAAUUUUGGCCUCAAAACUGUACGCCAAGCAACCUUUAUUCAGUACUCAUACUUGAAUGUGUUUGUAGCACAAUUUCUAAUUGGUCUUAAUAAUAAGAACCCAGAGUCAGAUAUUAGGGGUUGAAAGCUGAAAGAUCAGAGAAGCAGAGCAGUCAGCCACUAGGUCUUACGAAAUCCUCAGACUGAAUGCUGUCUCUACAAAAUCUCAGACUGCAGUCUGAGCUCCUGUCUCCUCCCGCCUUAUAUUCCUCUCCUGGCCCAGCCAUAUCACUCCUGUCUCCACCUCCCUAGUAAGGGGAUAAAAGGUGUCAGCUACUACCCUUGGCUCUGUUUCUCUUUGAGAGUGAUUUAAUCUGGAGUAGCCCAGGGUGUCCUUGAACUCACAGAGAUCCUCCUGCCUCUGCGCUGGGAUUGAAGGUGUGUGCCACCACUGCCUGGCCUCUGUGGCUAACUAGUAUGCCUAGUUCCACACUCUGACCUUUAGGCAAGCUUUAUUUGUUAAAGUACAAACAAAAUAUCCACCACCAUGAGUUAUUACACAAACAGCAAAAGGAAUGACUUACCUCUUCUUGCCUCCCUUGCAAACUGAUCCCCACCUGCUCUUCUGGCUCCUUAGCUUGCUGUCUGGCUCUUCUCUAGGUCUCCUUCCUGUACACCAGUGGGCGGGGCCAGUGUACCAGCAUUAUUGGAUGGACUUUCACCCCUUGUCACUCAGAGAAGACUCUGGGAGAGGUUGAGCAUGUGGCUUAGUUGACAGAGUGCUCACUUAGCAUGCAUGGUGGGUUUCAUCCCUUGCGCGUCUCAAAAGUGGGAUGGUGAACGUUAUGGUUUUCUGUCUCUUUAAGAGACAAGCCACGCCCACUCCCACUCCGCUCCCUCCCCCAUCCGCUGAGGCAGGCUGAUCUCCAGCUUCCAGCCUAAGCUCACUCUCUCCUUUUCCAUCUUCCUCUCGGAGAGUCAGCUUUUUCUCCGCACUUCUCUGCUUCCCCCUUCUCUUUCUCUUCUCUCUCUCUCUCUCUCUCUCUCUCUCUCUCUCUCUCUCUCUCUCU